AUAACUCGGGGAUAGCCUUUCGAAAGAAAGAUUAAUAUCCGAUAGCAUAUAUUUCCCGCAUGGGUUUUAUAUUAAAGAAAUUCGGUAUGAGAUGGGGAUGCGUUCCAUUAGUUUGUUGGGGGGUAACGGCCCACCAAGACUACGAUGGAUAGGGGUUCUGAGAGGAAGGUCCCCCACAUUGGAACUGAGACACGGUCCAA
rnacentral:rRNA from 1 species